AUGUCGAAGGGUCCUGCCGUUCGUAUUGAUCUCGGCAUCACCUACUCUUGUAUGGGUGUGUUCUAGCAUGGAAAAGUAGAAAUAAUUGCUUUGUGUAUGAUCUGGGAAACUGAAUCACUCCAAGCUAUGUUGCCUUUACAGACACUGAACUAUCGAUCGGUGUUGCCACAAAGGAUCAAGUUGCAAUGAACCCCACCAACACGGUUUUUGAUGCCAAACAUCUGAUUGGACACAGAUUUGAUGAUGAUGUUGUCCAGUCUGAUAUGAAGCAUUGGCCCUUCAUGGUGGUAAAUGAUGCUGGCAGGCCCAAGGUCCAAGUAGAAUACAAUGGAGAGACCAAAAUCUUCUAUCCAGAGGAGGUAUCCUCUAUGGUUCUGACAAAGAUGAAGGAAAUUGCAGAAGCCUACCUUGGAAGACUGUUACCAAUGCUGUGGUCACAGUGCCAGCUUAUUUUAAUGAAUCUCAGUAUCAGGCUAGCAAAGAUGCUGGAACUAUUAUUGCUCAAUGUACUUAGAAUUAUCAAUGAGCCAAAUGCUGCUACUAUUACCUACAGCUUAGACAAAAAGGUUGGAGCUGAAAGAAACGUGCUAAUCUUUGACCUGGGAGGUGGCACUUUUGAUGUGUCAGUCCUCACUAUUGGGGAUGGAAUCUUUGAGGUCAAGUCUACAGCCAGAGACACCUACUUGGGUGGAGAAGAUUUUGAUCACCAAAUGAUCAACCAUUUUAUUGCUGAGUUCAAGCACAAGCAUAAGACGGACAUAAGUGAGAACAAGAGAGCAGUAAGACACCUCCCUACUGCUUGUGAGUGUGCUCAGUGUACUUUCUCUUCCAGCACCCAGGCCAGUAUUGUGAUCGAUUCUCUCUAUGAAGGAAUCAACUUCUGUACCUCCAUUACCCAUACCCAAUUUGAAGAAUUGAAUGCUCACCUGUUCCAUGGCACCCUGGACUCCAUAGAGAAGGCCCUUCAAGAUGCCAAACUAGACAAGUCACAGAUUCAUGAUACUGUCCUGGUUGGUGGUUCUACUCGCAUCCCCAAGAUUCAGAAGCUUCUCCAAGACUUCUUCAGUGGAAAAGAACUGAAUAAGAGCAUCAACCCUUUUGCUUAUGGUGCAGCUGUCCAGGCCACCAUCCUGUCUGGAGACAAGUCUGAAAAUGUUCAAGAUUUGCUGCUUUUCUCCUCUUUCCCUUGGUAUUGAAACUGCUGGUGGAGUAAGGACUGUCCUCCUCAAGUGUAAUACUACCAUUCCUGCCAAGUAGACACAGACCUUCACUACCUAUUCUGACAACCAGCCUAGUGUGCUUAUUCAGGUUUAUGAAGGUGAGUGUGCCAUGAACAAGGAUAACAACCUGCCUGGCAUACCUCCUGCACCCCAAUGUGUUCCUCAGAUUGAAGUCACUUUUGACAUUGAUGCCAAUGGCAUCCUCAAUGUGUCUGCUGUAGACAAGAGUACAGGAGACGAGAACAAGAUUACUAUCACUAAUGACAAGAGCCGUUUGAGCAAGGAAGACAUUGAACGUAUGGUCCAGGAAGCUGAGAAGCACAAAGCUGAAGAUGAGAAGCAGAGGGACAAAGUAUCAUCUAAGAGUUAACUUGAGUCCUGUGCAUUCAACAUGAAAGCAACUGUCAAAGAUGAGAAACUUCAAUGCAAGAUUAACGAUGAGGACAAACGGAAGAUUCUGGACAAGUGUAAUGAAAUUAUCAGCUGGCUCAAUAAGAAUCAGACUGCUGAGAAGGAAGAAUCUGAACAUCAGCAGAAAGAGCUGGAGGAAGUCUGCAACCCCAUCAUCACCAAGCUGUACCAGAGUGCAGGAGGCAUGCCAGGAGGAAUGCCUGGGGGAUUCCCUGGUGGUGGAGCUCCUCCCUCUGGUGGUGCUUCCUCGGGGCCCACCAUUGAAGAGGUUGAUUAAGCCAACCCAAGUAGCAUGUGUUCCACACAUGUAAAACA